rnacentral:rRNA from 1 species
GGCUCAGGACGAACGCUGGCGGCGUGCCUAAUACAUGCAAGUAGAACGCUGAGGACUGGUGCUUGCACUGGUCUAAGGAGUUGCGAACGGGUGAGUAACGCGUAGGUAACCUACCUCAUAGCGGGGGAUAACUAUUGGAAACGAUAGCUAAUACCGCAUGACAAUAGGGUACACAUGUACCCUAUUUAAAAGGGGCAACUGCUUCACUAUGAGAUGGACCUGCGUUGUAUUAGCUAGUUGGUAAGGUAACGGCUUACCAAGGCGACGAUACAUAGCCGACCUGAGAGGGUGAUCGGCCACACUGGGACUGAGACACGGCCCAGACUCCUACGGGAGGCAGCAGUAGGGAAUCUUCGGCAAUGGGGGGAACCCUGACCGAGCAACGCCGCGUGAGUGAAGAAGGUUUUCGGAUCGUAAAGCUCUGUU